rnacentral:rRNA from 1 species
UACGAAGGGAGCUAGCGUUGUUCGGAAUUACUGGGCGUAAAGGGCGCGUAGGCGGCCACGUGAGUCAGAUGUGAAAUCCCCGGGCUUAACCUGGGAACUGCAUUUGAUACUGCGAGGCUAGAGAAUGUGAGAGGUAAGUGGAAUUAUGAGUGUAGAGGUGAAAUUCGUAGAUAUUCAUAAGAACAUCAGUGGCGAAGGCGGCUUACUGGCCCGGUACUGACGCUCAUGUGCGAAAGCGUGGGGAGCAAACAGG